rnacentral:rRNA from 1 species
AGUGAACGCUGGCGGUAGGCCUAACACAUGCAAGUCGAACGGCAGCACAGUAAGACCCUGCUCUUACGGGUGGCGAGUGGCGGACGGGUGAGGAAUACAUCGGAAUCUACUUUUUCGUGGGGGAUAACGUAGGGAAACUUACGCUAAUACCGCAUACGACCUACGGGUGAAAGCAGGGGAUCUUCGGACCUUGCGCGAUUGAAUGAGCCGAUGUCGGAUUAGCUAGUUGGCGGGGUAAAGGCCCACCAAGGCGACGAUCCGUAGCUGGUCUGAGAGGAUGAUCAGCCACACUGGAACUGAGACACGGUCCAGACUCCUACGGGAGGCAGCAGUGGGGAAUAUUGGACAAUGGGCGCAAGCCUGAUCCAGCCAUACCGCGUGGGUGAAGAAGGCCUUCGGGUUGUAAAGCCCUUUUGUUGGGAAAGAAAAGCAGCAGGUUAAUACCCCGCUGUUCUGACGGUACCCAAAGAAUAAGCACCGGCUAACUUCGUG